UCUACGGGGGGCAGCAGUGGGGGAUAUUGCACAAUGGGGGAAACCCUGAUGCAGCGACGCCGCGUGUGGGAAGACGGUCCUCUGGAUUGUAAACCACUGUCCCCAGGGACGAAGAUGACGGUACCUUGGGAGGAAGCUCCGGCUAACUACGUGCCAGCAGCCGCGGUAAUACGUGGGGAGCGAGCGUUGUCCGGAAUUACUGGGUGUAAAGGGAGCGUAGGCGGGACUGCAAGUUGGGGGUCAAAUCUACCGGCUCAACCGGUGGCCGCACUCAAAACUGCAGUUCUUGAGUGAAGUAGAGGCAGGCGGAAUUCCUAGUGUAGCGGUGAAAUGCGUAGAUAUUAGGAAGAACACCAGUGGCGAAGGCGGCUUUCUGGACUGAAACUGACGCUGAGGCACGAAAGCGUGGGGAGCGAACAGGAUUAGAUACCCGAGUAGUC
rnacentral:rRNA from 1 species